rnacentral:rRNA from 2 species
CUUGAGUUAUAAACAUAAGAGGUCCAGCCUGCCCAGUGAUUAAAUUUAACGGCCGCGGUAUCCUAACCGUGCGAAGGUAGCGUAAUCACUUGUUCUUUAAAUGAGGACUAGUAUGAAUGGCACCACGAAGGUUUUACUGUCUCCUUUUCCUAAUCAGUGAAACUAAUCUUCCCGUGAAGAAGCGGGAAUAAACGAAUAAGACGAGAAGACCCUAUGGAGCUUUAAACACAAUAACAAAUACUACUUUAAACAAAAAUUUCUUAAUGACUUACUUACUGGUAUUAUGAUUAUUAGUUUUAGGUUGGGGUGACCGCGGAGAAAAACACAACCUCCACAUUGAAUGAUAAAAUUCUAAGCAAAGAAUUACAUUUCCACGCAUCAAUACAUUGACAUCAAUUGACCCAAUUAUUUUGAUCAACGAAC